rnacentral:rRNA from 1 species
AGGUAGAUAGGUCAGGAGUGUAAGCAUGGUGACAUGUUAAGCGGACUGAUACUAAUAGGUCGAGGGCUUGACCGAAA